CCUACGGGGGGCAGCAGUGAGGAAUAUUGGUCAAUGGUCGGGAGACUGAACCAGCCAAGCCGCGUGAGGGAUGAAGGUACAGAGUAUCGUAAACCUCUUUUGUCAGGGAACAAAGGCGGGGACGUGUCCCCGGAUGAGUGUACCUGAAGAUAAAGCAUCGGCUAACUCCGUGCCAGCAGCCGCGGUAAUACGGAGGAUGCGAGCGUUAUCCGGUUUUAUUGGGUUUAAAGGGUGCGCAGGCCGUUUGUUAAGUCAGCGGUAAAAGCCCGGGGCUCAACCCCGGCCCGCCGUUGAAACUGGCAGUCUCGAGUUGGAGAGAAGUAUGCGGAAUGCGCGGUGUAGCGGUGAAAUGCAUAGAUAUCGCGCAGAACUCCGAUUGCGAAGGCAGCAUGCCGGCUCCACACUGACGCUGAGGCACGAAAGCGUGGGUAUCGAACAGGAUUAGAUACCCGAGUAGUC
rnacentral:rRNA from 1 species